UGUCUGUGUUACAAAAUGGGUGCUGUGCACUUUUGAUUUUGGUAUGUUCACAGGUAUUGUUUUGGUUAGCUUCGUUAUAGCUUACAUUACUGAACAUGAAAUGCAAAUUUAUUGACCAGAACCCAAGAAGGGUUUCUGUGUGUAAUGACACUUCACCAAUGUGUGUUUCUAUAGCAGAGCUAUCUGUAUAUUAUAAAAACACUAAAUGAUGCUUCACCACAAGUGUGUGUCUUUGACUCUAUAUGUGAAAUGCUGCAGCUGCAUUUGGUGGAGGCUUGCCUCCUGGAAUAAGUGGUACAAAUGACAGGUGCACCAUCCUUGUCUCCAAUCUGGAUCCUGGCUAUGUUUCAGGGAUUCAAGCAUUUGAAAUGAUAGCAAUUGCUGCGAUUAAUUUGAGUUACUUGUAUGCCACAUAUAUCAACCAUCACAUCUUGCCAAAGUUGUUAUGCCUGAAAGCUACCUCUGCAGAAAUACUUUACAGUAGGAUUGAGGAAAGUGAACUCUCUGAUGCAAGCUCAACAAAUUUGAAAGAAGAUGGAUCUUCACCAUCCCUAACUCUGAUAAAAAAGCAGGUAGAUAUGCUAUACCAGCUCAUAAAUUCACCAGUUAAAUGGGAUGGUAUUCAGAUAAACUUUCAUAUCUAAAAGGAAAAGUGCCUUCCUCGAUAGGAAUUCCAACGUCAGUUGCCCUGCCCUUUGGAGUUUUUGAGAAGGUUUUGUUAGAUGAUUCAAACCUGGUUUGUCUCAUCUCAUCUCAUGGCACUUAAGUGUAUCCAACAUCAAUAGAAUGCUAAUUCUAACAUAUCGACCUUUGAAACCUUUCCAAAAUUAUCAUGACAGGUGAUUAUCAAGCAAAUGCUAGAUGUGUAUGCCUAGAUGAGGGCUUCGCUUGGUGAGGCAUGCAUUUCGUGACAAAGAGGCAUGCAUAACAAGUGAUUUCUUGUUUAGAAGCCUAAAAUAUAACUUCAUUCGAUCACAAUGCAUCAGAGUAGAUUUCCUUUUUCUCUAUCCAGGGUCCAUGAACACUGGAGUAGACUUCUACAAGUUGUGUGGAGUGUCCAUUAUUCAAAGAUCCUCUAGCACUAAAACUGUUGGAAAGACUUUUGGCAUUUGCACAACAGCCCCUUCUGCACAUAUCAUGACCGCAGACAAGCCACAGCUGGAAAUCCCAGGAUUUUCUGAAUCUGACCACUCCAGCCAGAAGAUAAGAUUAUUUGCUGCAUUGAGGACCUGAACCUGCCGAAAGACUCCAAAAUACUGGUGUUGAUGCCUUCUAUUGCUACACAGCUCACCGAAGAUCGACAGAAGAAACCAGUCCCUUGGAAACAAUGGCAAUCAUUGACAACAAGGAGAUCAUUGACAUUAACCAAGGU